UAUUUAAACUAAGUCCAUCUGAGAAUAGGGCCCAAAAAUAAAUAGUCUCCGAGAAUUAACUUAGCCCAAUUAAAUAUACAAGUUUAAUAAAUAAUUAAUCCACCAUCUUCUUCUCAAGUUAAGAAAAUCAGAUUUCUUUCUCUCUCCCCGUGUUCUCUCACUCACCGCGUCUCUCUCUCUCCCUUCGCUCCCUUUCUCAGCCGGCAACUUCGCCGGUCCUUGCCGCCUCCGGUCGCGAGGCCAGCCCCUCUUCUUCCCUCCUUCUGUCCUUCCCUUUCUCUUUCCCUAAAUUCUCAAAUCAAUUCAACCUAGGGUUUUCUGCCUCCCUUUCCCCUCUGAAAUUCGCCCCUCCGGCGAGUCCCGCCGCCACUACCGCCGUCUCCGUCGCACCGCUACCCCUGCCUCAGAAAUCAAUGCUCUUCGGUGAACAUCGCUGGCGGGACAAGGCAGCCUCGGUUUCACUGUGGCUAUUCGAAUUCCAUCUGUUCUUUUUUUUUCUUUUUGUAUUUAUUCAGUCCAUAAACUCUUCGAAACAGGAAGCAUACUCUAGAUGCUAAAGAAAAUUGAGUUUUAUUGCUUGGUAUCUUAAAUUAGAACUAGAUGUAACUAUUGUCUAAUUCUGUUAUUCUCGACUGUUGUUUACGAAUGAAUUACUGAACUGUAUAAAAGAGUACUACCUGCUUGGGUUGAA